UGGUUGAGGUGCGCAUGCGCACUGGCACCUAACGGCUCUUCUUCGAGUCUUCUCAGAGGUUGGAGAUUCCCUGUCUUCUCCAACCUCUGCCAAGUCUUCAGAGAGGUUGGAGUGCGCCUGUCGGAGGUACUAGACCCCAGAUGAGGAUCUCAGGAAGAUCCACAAAGCUGCGUCCAGGGGAACGAACGUGUGGAAGCUGCAGCGGAGCCUCCUGCUCAAGAGUAAAGGACCGGUCUGAAACCUACAAGAACAGGACACAUAUUGCUUGUCUCUGAACUUCUCAGCUGCCUGCAGAUCUUCCUGUUUUUCAGCUGCAGUUAGGGUUUGUCUGAGGAGAAGCAUAACAUCCCUCCAGGCCAAAUGCUCCACAAAUAAAUGUGUUGAAUGAAUGAACAAAUGAAUAAGCGAAGUGAAUGGAACAUCAAACUGCAUAAAAAUAUAUUUAUUCAUAAAUGAGAGGUGAUGAUUGCCAACAUAUCAUAAUCAGACUCUGACCUUGGUUACUUAUGAGUUUGACAACGAAGAGGAAAGAGGAUCAGGGUCGGCUUUGUUGCCCACUUGGAGUGUAGUGGCACAACCUUGGCUCACUGCAACCUUCUCCUGAAGUACAUAUUAGCUCACCUGGGCUCAAGUGAUCCUCCCACCUCAGUCUUUUGAGUAUCUGGGAUUAUUGGCAUGUGCCACCAAGCCUUGCUAAUUUUUGUAUUUUUUGUAGACACAGGAUUUUGCCACGUUGGCCAGAUUUGUCUUGAACUCCUAAGCUCCAGUGAUCCACCCACCUUGGCCUCCCAAAGUGCUAGGAUUACACGUGUCACCAUCGUGGCCAACCAGCAAGCUCUCUUUUAAUGAUUCAGAGUCUCAGGCCAUAGCAGUAUAAGUAUCAAAACAUCUAUUCCCAACUUGGAGUUGAGAUUUCUAAUACGAAUUCUAUUUUCUCCAUAAUCAUAAAAUAGCAUCAGGAAAAGUCUCUUGACAUCUUAAAAUACAUAUCACUGGAAAGUAGAUCUUUUUGUCCUUCAGAUAAACAUACUGUAAAAUUUGAAAUGAAAAUUAUUCUUUGUACCACCAUUCUGAUUUUACCCAGGGUUAACACAAAAGUUAUAGCAGUACAUGAAGCUCUGAGGCUUCAAUGGGUGUAGAUAUAGACAUCCAAACCUAUAAUUUUACAUUAAUCAGAAUACUAUUCAUAUAAAUCACAAAUGGCAAAACCAUUUCUGAAGGUAUUUGGUUUUAUAGAUUAUAAAAUUAAACUUCCUUAUAAUUGUGUCCAAACUGAAAUAUGCUUCCUGUACAAAAAAGCUUUCUUCUAACAGUAAAGGCCUCCUCCCAACCCACCCGACACAUACACACACACACACACACACACACACACACACACACACACACGAAGAGAGAGAGAGAAUUUAGAGCACUGAUCUUUUCUCUCUUAGACUAAUUAUUUUAACAUUAUUUUCAGCCACUUUAUUAAUUGUGGGGUUAAGGGUAGGAUAGAUCUAAUGCCCAUUUCACAUGUGUUGCAACAUCAGAGAUUAUGGUUUUCAUUAAAAACAUCAGAGCUAAAUUCCUUUUCAAAAAAGACAUUGUUACUGUUAGUACCUUGGGGAAUGUUGUAGUCUUAUGAAUGCUGAUACGUUUAUUUGAGCCAAUUGAAUAUUAUCUCUAAUAUAAACUAUAAUUUACUGUGUGAUUCCUCUUCCUGUUUUACCUAUAUAUACUCAAAGUGAAUGAUUGUGUUUAGUGAACAUUUCUUUAGGUAAUAAAAAUUAAUUUCAUUUAAGAAAGAAGUACAAAAUAGUUAUUAGAGCAAACUUUGGUAUUUGUAAUUUUGAAGUUACAUACUUUUGAAAUAAACUUGGGCUUUCAUGCCAUGUUGGGUUUGAGGAAGAUAGCAAAUGUAUAAAUUGAGCUCUCUAGUCAUAACCUUGCUAUAUGUAUUCCUGCUCAUUAAAAUACUUUGCGCCAGCAAAAAUGAUUUCCAACAUAUGUGUUUUGGAUGUAAUUAAGUAACUGUAUAAAACUAAGUAUGUUUUUUCUCCUUUCCCCAGUGACUGGAAAACUUUCAUACUUU
ensembl:lncRNA LINC01606 long intergenic non-protein coding RNA 1606